rnacentral:lncRNA from 1 species
CUGUGAGUCUGUGGUUUCAGAAAAGACUUUUUGUAAGAGCUAAGUCUGAAAGCCUUAGCUCAGUUUGCUUAGUCAAGAAGGGUGCAGCUGGAUAAAAAGAACAUGAACAAAAUUUUUAAAAAAGCCCAAAUAAUGGAACAACAAAAAAACUGUGAAGGAUAGUGUCAUUGGGAGUGACAAGAGGACAACUUCUAGAAUUAUUGCUGCAAAGAUCCGGUUAUCCUCACAGGGAGUGAGUGAAAAAAAGUGGGAAGAAACUAACUUAAUUCUAAGAAAUGAGAGGAUUACAGAUCCCAGAAGAUAAUCAAGUGCUUCAAGACAGUUGAUUAAGCCAAAUUAUAUGUGGUAGAGAAAGAUUUGUGGAGCAGUUUCAGAAUAUAUACACAUGUCUGUCUGUUGAAUGUAUUCCUUCCUCUUACAGGAAGGAAUUCCUUCCAGGGUCAUUGUAUGUGAUAAAGAUCACUUGUAAAUGAAAACUUUGGAGGUUACAGAAGAAGUAAAUGUCAGAAAUGAAGGAAAAUAAUAGCAGGUAAAGGAAAGAAAGGGAGGAAUCGCAGAAAUGAGAAAAACUGAAAAGGGAAGAAAGCAGAGACCACUAAUUAGAAGUCGAGCAUCUUGGAGGAUGAAAUUAUGCCAUAAUUUUCUUCCCUUGGUCGUUUUUGAUGUCUUGAGGGGAUCCUAUCAGCAGGAGAUACAGAGAGACUCCUACUGACAUCAGCCUUCAUGCACACAUAUGAAAGGAGAAACCAUGUAGCUGAUCCAGCCUGGAGACCAUCGAUGACAGCCUGGAUGAUGGACACAGGUGAGGGGACUCCAUCAAAGAACAGACAAGACUUUGUUGUAGAAAAACAACAACAACAAAAAAAGAGGCUGACAUCCUAUAAUAAAUUUGUGUUUGGCAGAAUCCUAAGGUGGCCCCAAGAUUCCCACCUCUAGGUGUACAUAUUUUGUAUACUCGCUCACCCUCUGUCUUGAGUGUAGGCAGAACUUGUGAAUAUGAAGGAAUGUCACUCCGUGACAUCUUAGGUUAGAUGACAAAGGUUAUCCCCUCAGGGGAUCUUGAUUAUAGCUGCAAAAUCCCCUUUGUCAUCCCCUUUAAAUUAAUCAAAAGGGAAUAUGAGAGUGGUCUGCAGAUAACAAGUAGCAAGAAAAUGAAGACUUCGGUCCUGCAGCUGCAAGGAAACAAAUUCUGCCGACAAACGCGAGAAACUUUGCAGUGAAUCUUUUCCUGGUCAAGCAUCCAGGUUGAGAACUCAGCUCAGCCAAGACCUUGAUUUCAGACUUGUGAGAGCUUGCAUGGAGAACUCAGUGACUGUCUGUAGUUUAGGAGUUAAUUUUCUCACUCUGUGUAUUAACUGAGUCUGCUUGUAAUUUAUUGUUUCUGACUUUUUUAAAAAACUGUAAAUAUUCAUUGACUUUCUAACGGAUUGCCUUUGAUUGAUCGAUUGGUGAUGGAUGCUAAUGGAAUCUGUGACCCAUUCUUUACAAAUUACAGAUUUCAGAAAAGGAGAGAAGCCAAAAACGUUCACUUGAGAGUGUCAUUUGAAGAGGUAAGCCUCCUCAAUUGACAUAUGUGCCCAAACAUUUAGCUGCAUUAUUUUCUGAAGAGCCAGCAGACCAUUCUGGUGACACACUCUUUGCCUUAUUGUUUGCUACAUAAAAACCUGAAUGGAACUAAAUUAUAAACUAGGGCUAUAGAAUAAAUGCAGCAAUGAUGGCUUGAAUGGCUAAAACCUGAGAUGUCACUCUCAAUGAAAGGCAGUGUUUAUUCCACAGCUCAGAGUCACCAAUAGCAUGAGAUACUAAGAAAAUGAAAUAAACCCUAAGUUAGUAAAUUACAAGAAGUCAUUCUCAAAGUCCAUGUCUUGUCUGUCCUUUUGAUCAUAAGGUCAUUAUGAGAUACAAAUACUAACAUAUUUAAAAUUUAAUAAAAAAGAUUUUAAAAUGUAGUUCUCAAGAGUGGUCAGCAACCUUAAAAUUGGGGGCUGCAAACACAUUCCACUGGCAAAGGAUUAUGCAAGAUAAAUUGUUGAACUUUAAAAGACUAAUAAAUUAUA